rnacentral:rRNA from 1 species
AUGGGGUCCAACGAGGCGGACAAGCCGCUGCGGCGGAUCGGUGCGUCGUUCGAGCAGCUCGCUGCUGUCGCCAAGCCACAGCAGCAGCCCAUGAUGGCGGCGGGGGACUUCUCGCGUGCCUGCUCCAACGUCUCCGUCCUCUUUGGCUGCCUCGGCAUCGCCUUCAAAUUUGCCUUGAUGGACUACAUCGCCAAGGCAAGCGGCCGCUCCUCAGCCCCCCUCUUCUCCCCCGCUACCUGCUCUGCUGUUCGGUAUGGUACUUCAUUGUGCUUGUACUGUAUGUGGUAA